rnacentral:rRNA from 1 species
UACGUAGGGUGCAAGCGUUGUCCGGAAUUAUUGGGCGUAAAGAGCUCGUAGGCGGUCUGUCGCGUCGGCUGUGAAAACCCGGAGCUCAACUCCGGGCCUGCAGUCGAUACGGGCAAACUGGAGUGUUGCAGGGGAGACUGGAAUUCCUGGUGUAGCGGUGAAAUGCGCAGAGUAUCAGGAGGAACACCGGUGGCGAAGGCGGAUCUCUGGGCCAUUACUGACGCUGAGGAGCGAAAGCGUGGGGAGCGAACAGG